rnacentral:rRNA from 1 species
CCUACGGGUGGCAGCAGUGGGGAAUAUUGCGCAAUGGGCGAAAGCCUGACGCAGCGACGCCGCGUGAGGGAUGAAGGUCUUCGGAUCGUAAACCUCUGUCAGCAGGGAAGAACGGUCACUGUGCUAAUCAGCAGUGAAUUGACGGUACCUGCAAAGGAAGCACCGGCUAACUCCGUGCCAGCAGCCGCGGUAAUACGGAGGGUGCGAGCGUUAAUCGGAAUUACUGGGCGUAAAGCGCUCGUAGGCGGUAUGUCAAGUCAAGGGUGAAAUCCCCGCGCUCAACGUGGGAACUGCCUUUGAAACUGGCAAACUGGAGUGUGGGAGAGGUUAGUGGAAUUCCAGGUGUAGGAGUGAAAUGCGUAGAUAUCUGGAGGAACAUCAGUGGCGAAGGCGACUAUCUGGCACAUAACUGACGCUGAGGAGCGAAAGCGUGGGUAGCAAACAGGAUUAGAUACCCCAGUAGUC